AUUUUCAUAAAUUCUGUAUUUUGGAAAUUCGAAUACGUGCCCUGAAUAUCUGUAAAAUUCGGUUUACUUCUUGCAGGAAAAUCAAGCAGCAGUUUCUGUAGUGUAGUGGUUAUCACGUUCGCUUUACACGCGAAAGGUCCUCGGUUCGAAACCGGGCGGAAACAGAGCUCUUUGACACGUGCAGUAGGUACUGUACUUUCAACAAAGAAUUGUUAUUUUCAUGAAUUCUGUAUUUUGGAAAUUCGAAUACGUGCCAUGAAUAUCUGUAAAAUUCGGUUUACUCCUCGCAGCUAAAUGUAGCAGCAGUUUCUGUAGUGUAGUGGUUAUCACGUUUGUUCACACGCGAAAGGUCCCUGGUUCGAAACCAGGCGGAAACAACGCACAUCGACACAUUCUGAAGUACCAUAGUGGUAACAGAGAAUUUCAUUAUUCUCUUAUUUUGGAAAUUCGAAUACGUGCCAUGAAUAUUUUUAAAAUUCGGUUUACUCCUUGCAGAAAAAUCAAGCAGCAGUUUCUGUAGUGUAGUGGUUAUCACGUUAGCUUUACACGUGAAAG
rnacentral:lncRNA from 1 species